GCUAUACCGCAUACGACCUACGAUUGGCAUCAAUCGUAGGUGAAAGGUGGCCUCUACAUGUAAGCUAUCGUUGUAGGAGGGGAUUGCGUCUGAUUAGCUAGUUGGAGGGGGUAACGGCCCACCAAGGCAAUGAUCAGUAGCCGGUCUGAGAGGAUGAACGGCCACAUUGGGACUGAGACACGGCCCAAACUCCUACGGGAGGCAGCAGUGGGGAAUCUUCCGCAAUGGACGAAAGUCUGACGGAGCAACGCCGCGUGAGUGAUGACGGUCUUCGGAUUGUAAAGCUCUGUUAAUCGGGACGAAUGGUUUGUGUGCAAAUAGUGCAUAGACAUGACGGUACCGGAAUAGAAAGCCACGGCUAACUACGUGCCAGCAGCCGCGGUAAU
rnacentral:rRNA from 1 species